AGAGUUUGAUCAUGGCUCAGAACGAACGCUGGCGGCAUGCCUAACACAUGCAAGUCGAACGAGGGCUUCGGCCCUAGUGGCGCACGGGUGAGUAACGCGUGGGAACCUGCCCUGUGGUACGGAAUAACUCCGGGAAACUGGAGCUAAUACCGUAUGCGUCCUGCGGGACAAAGAUUCAUCGCCAUGGGAGGGGCCCGCGUAGGAUUAGCUUGUUGGCGGGGUAACGGCCCACCAAGGCUUCGAUCCUUAGCUGGUCUGAGAGGAUGAUCAGCCACACUGGGACUGAGACACGGCCCAGACUCCUACGGGAGGCAGCAGUGGGGAAUAUUGGACAAUGGGCGCAAGCCUGAUCCAGCAAUGCCGCGUGAGUGAUGAAGGCCUUCGGGUUGUAAAGCUCUUUCGCACGCGACGAUGAUGACGGUAGCGUGAGAAGAAGCCCCGGCUAACUUCAUGCCAGCAGCCGCGGUAAUACGAAGGGGGCUAGCGUUGUUCGGAAUUACUGGGCGUAAAGGGCGCGUAGGCGGUGUGUCAAGUCAGGCGUGAAAGCCCCGGGCUCAACCUGGGAACCGCGCUUGAGACUGGCACGCUCGAGUUCGGGAGAGGAUGGUGGAAUUCCCAGUGUAGAGGUGAAAUUCGUAGAUAUUGGGAAGAACACCGAUGGCGAAGGCAGCCAUCUGGACCGACACUGACGCUGAGGCGCGAAAGCGUGGGGAGCAAACAGGAUUAGAUACCCUAGUAGUCC
rnacentral:rRNA from 1 species